rnacentral:rRNA from 1 species
CGCCGAAAGGGGUACGUAAUACCGGAGUAUUCUUUGCUUUUCAUAAGUUAUGCAAGCAAAGGUGGCCUCUGCAUAUGCUACUGCAUGAAGAGGGGUCUGCGUACCAUUAGCUAGUAGGUGGGGUAAUGGCCUACCUAGGCGACGAUGGUUAGCGGGUCUGAGAGGAUGAUCCGCCACACUGGCACUGGAACACGGGCCAGACUCCUACGGGAGGCAGCAGUGAGGAAUAUUGCGCAAUGGGGGAAACCCUGACGCAGCGACGCCGCGUGAGUGAGGAAAAGGCCUUCGGGUCGUAAAGCUCUGUCAAGAGGAAAGAAGUGUACAAUGGCUAAUACCUGUUGUAUUUGACGGUACCUCUAAAGGAAGCACCGGCUAACUCCGUGCCAGCAGCAGC